rnacentral:rRNA from 1 species
GCGUCCAGGGUGAGUAACACAGUGAGGAAACUUGCCUCGAGCGGGGGAUAACGUCCCGAAAGGGACGCUAAUACCAGCAUAAGCCCACGUCAGGCCUCGGCCGAUGAGGGAAAAGGUGGCCACUGAAUUCAAGCUAUCGCUUGAGGAUGGUCCUGCGGGCAUCAGCUAGUUGGUGGGGUAACGGCUACCAAGGCGAAGACGCGUACUGGUCUGAGAGGAUGAUCAGCACACUGGCACUGAAACACGGGCCAGACUCCUACGGGAGGCAGCAGUGGGGAAUAUUGGACNAUGGGCGCAAGCCUGAUCCAGGCCACGCCGCGUGAGUGAUGAAGGCCUUCAGGGUUGAAAAGCUCUGUGGGGAAAGGGGGCGAAAAACGGGCCGGGUAAAGAAAACGACCCGGUACCUUGAAGGGUAACCUUCCUUAGGCAAAGGCAACACGGUUAAACUCCUGGUAGAGCAAGAAAGACCAGACAGCGGAAACUAACAAGCAAGGGUGCAGAAACAGGAUGGCCUACGGAAACUUACACAGGGAGAGAGAGUUAAAAAAAGACAGAGAAGGAUGAGUAAGGAGAGCAGAGGAACCCGGGAGCNAAAAGGGU